rnacentral:lncRNA from 1 species
AUGAAAUACCUCUGUUCAACUCGAUCCAUAUGUAUUUGAUUUUCAAAAGGGGCUACUAAUCAUAAAACCCUACAUACAUAAGUGGUUUUGACAUCAAGCCUUUUUGUGCAACGAUAACUUGUUCUUAAUGCAAUACAACUUAUAAAUCGACAAAAACCCAUCAAAAUAUUAGGGACCAAAAGCUGACCAAUCAAUCAUAUGGUGCAAGUCAUCAUCAUCACAAAAAACUAACACGCAACUAGAAUACUCAUCCCUUCACUCCAUAGGCGAAGGACCAUCUUCCAACGAGGCAUCAGUUGCGACACUUCCAAACAUGAUCGCAGUCACCAUCAACUUAUCAGCAUCAGGAAAACUUCUAUGCUGCAUCAAGAUACCUUCUACUGACGAAAUCUCCGAACUUUCCUGCCUUAACGGAAGCACCUGUUCAAACCCGCCUUCAUAAGUUUCAGCUUCGGGUCCGUAACACCUGCGUGAAGCUUGAAAAAGAGCAGUUUCUUUAAGAACCUCCAAGAUUUCCUCAUCGGUCAAGCCCUUAGCCACGGUUGUCUGGUUUAUGGCUUCCCAGUCGUCUUGAUUGGCGGCGUUCUUCCAGCAUUCUUCUAGAAGACUUGUGUUGCACCUCAGGAAGGAGAGACUGGUCCAUGCAAACACGUCGAAUGCGUACAAUGCCAGUUGCUUGUUUUGAAUAUUGAG